CGUCCAUCUUUACAGCAGACCCACACUACUGAGAGGGACGCGGAAGCGGACGGCUAUAGUGUGUAGUGGGGAAGCGACGGACGGCGCGUUUUAUCACACUCGCUGUCGCGUUGCUCUGCGCCUUCCUCUGCCCCGUCGCCGACUACCAUGUAGUACAGCUCGGCAUCGCUCGCACCGACACGGCAGCCGUGGUCGCACGCGCGCGUUAACUCGUCUUCGAUCGUCGAUCGUCACCGUGAUCGCCAGCACGGGAGGUGUGUCGCGACACUCGUCAACGUGUGCAGCAACGACCGUGCCUCUCUUCGGCGCCAGCGAGAGAGAGAGAGAGACAACACACACACACACACACCAACGCGAGACGUAUCACGGCCGCUUGUCAGCGACCGCCGUGACACAGAAAACGCGGACGUCGUCGGCCGACGGUGAGGAGCGCCGCCCCGUAAUUACCGUGAUUAUUUAAUCAUGCCCAAUUCGCGGGAUACCAAAGGCGAUUGUGGCCAAACGGCAGCGUCGGCAGCAGCAGUAGCGAUAUUAUCAGCAUCAUCGGUGUUAACAGUGGCUGCGGCGUGAGCUUUCCACACAUCCUUCAUUCUUUCUCUCGUUCUCUCUUUCUACCGUAUCUCUGUCCCUCCUCCGAUAUUCCGAACCCCAUCGUCACGCGUGUAUAACGGUAUACGCGGUGUGUACAAGGCAGCUCGGAAAACGAGCGUGCGCGACGUCGUCGUCGCGACGGCUCGCACCGCUGGCGACACCGCUGGCGCGCAUUCCGCCGCCCGGCUACGCCUGGCCGAGAAAUGUGGUUCUGAAUCGGCGAUUCUCCUCCCGAUCGGCCGGUGAGCGCGCGGCAGGGCGGUUCGUUCGUCAUACAUACGUGCGUGCGCGCGUACGUACGCUUUCGCGGGCCGGGUGGGUGGCGGGCGAAGGGAAAGGGACUGCGAGCCGCGCCGAGUGCGGUUACUCCUGGUUACUCCGGUGUUCCGUUGAUUCGCAGUGUCGCGAGCGGGAUCGCACGUCGGUGCGGACACUCCAGUGCGCGAGGUGUGAGUGACGUCUCGGCGGAAGUAGCUGGAAGGGCGCGAAGAGGAGAAGGAAGGAAGCACGGAAGGAAGAGGAAGACGAGGAGGAGGGUAGCAGAACGACCGAGCGAGAGAGAGGGAGCGAGCAGGGUAGCAAGAUGGCGGGCUCCUUAACGUGGUCGUGUACUUGUUGCCUGCGCUUCAAGUUCAGCCCGGAGGAGAUCGAGCAGCGUUACAAAAGCCAGGAGAUCGACCGGAUGCUGGAGAAGGACCGGCAAGCGUUCCGCCGGCAGGUCAAGCUGCUGCUGCUCGGGGCAGGCGAGAGCGGCAAGUCGACAUUCCUCAAGCAGAUGCGGAUCAUUCACGGGAUCAAGUUCGAGCCUGAGUUGAUUAAGGAGUAUCAACAUGUGAUCUACCAGAACAUAAUUAAGGGGAUGAAGGUUUUGGUAGAUGCUCGGGACAAGCUAAAUAUUCCGUGGGAGAAUCCUAAGAAUUAUGAUAUUGGCUUUCAAUUACUCAAAUUCGAGAACACAAUGGUGUUGGACGCUAGAUUGUUUCUGCACUAUGUACCGGGGCUACAAAGCUUGUGGAAAGACGCAUCGAUUAGAAGAGCCUUCGAUAGGCGAAGAGAGUUCCAAUUAAGCGAUUCUGUCCAGUACUUCUUGGACAAUCUCGAUAGGAUUGCAAGAGUGGAGUACACGCCUACACAUCAGGAUAUCUUACACUGUAGGAAGGCGACAAAGGGGAUCUCUGAAUUCGUAAUACCAAUUAACAACAUCCCAUUCCUCUUUGUCGACGUCGGCGGCCAAAGGUCUCAGAGGCAAAAGUGGUACCAGUGUUUUGACUGUGUGACUUCCAUACUAUUCCUCGUUUCGUCAUCGGAAUUUGACCAGGUCUUGCUCGAAGAUAGGAGGACUAACAGACUGGAGGAGUCCAGGAAUAUAUUCGACACGAUUGUAAACAACAUGAUAUUCUGUGGUGUCUCCAUCAUCCUGUUCCUGAACAAAACCGACUUGCUCGACAAGAAAGUGAGGUCGCCGGAUACGAAUGUCCGUUGGUACUUUCCGCAGUUUACGGGUGAUCCACAUUCCAUGAAGGACGUGCAAAAUUUCAUACUCGACAUGUUCAUCUCGGUGAAGAGGGACCCGAGGAAGCCGCUGUUCCAUCACUUCACCACCGCGGUGGACACGGAGAACAUUAAAGUGGUCUUCAAUGCGGUGAAGGACACCAUUCUGCAUCGGAACUUGGAAUCCCUCAUGCUUCAAUAAUGCCGCGGAGACGGAGGAAUUGAACGCACACAUGAAGCAGCUAGUAACACAAAGAUCUACGUGAUCCCCCCGAUGCUUUUCCCAUGGUGUAAUGCGUAAGGUUAUCGCUGGUUGUUGAACCAGAACUUCACUGGUCUGUGGAAUAACUUAUUUCUUACUUAAGACGAAUUACCCUUUAACGCUGAAUAUAUUAAGUAACAAAGGGAAAAAACCAAAUAUACUAGAUUCAUGCCAUAUAAACCAAAUGAAACUAACCAGUUUGUGUUCAAAUUGCUGUGGGGGAAAAAAAGAAGGAAAAUUGUUCGCUCAUAUUUCUUCCUUUGAAGAGACGAUGCAAUAUUACUCAAAUCUUUAUAUCUUGCAUACCGUAUAUUAUUUCACCCCUCGAGAUUCGCUUUGUAAGGUGCUGUUGUCAUUCUCGCAGACUGAGGAUUAUGAUAAUCGUAUUGACUGAAAUCGUUUUCCUGUUAUACAAAAUUAAAUGUCAAUUGAGAUUUCAUGAAUGUUUCAUACAGUUUUUUUUUUAUACACGUAAUACGACAAUACAAUUUUCCUUGCGCCGAGUCGCUGAGAUAUAGGAUUAUAAUUAUGCAUUAGAAAAAUAUGCAAUGGCGAUUCGAAAUUUUAUGAUUGCAUCACGCAACACCACAUUUUAUUCGUCUGUCUUGUUAAUUUGAUAACUGAUCCUUUAUGGAAUAUACACUUAUACUUUCGAAGGAAAAUUCAAUUUUCACACGAAUGAUCAGUAUUAUUCCUUUUCCAUAUUGUGCGGAUUCAUGAAUUAAUUGCGUGAACUGAUUUUCUCGACGUUUCGUCACAAAAUAGCCAGAUUUUGCAACAGCAAUUUGUGUAAGCUACGUCUAAUUUAGCAUAUUAUAAAUAUGAUAUUGUGUUUACGUCUAUGUAUGCAUGUGUAAUCGAUUAAAAAAUUUUGUUAUCUUGUGCUUUGUCGGCUGACAAAACUGGCGCAAUUAGGACUGAACCACUGUAAUGUACCAAAAAAAUUAUGGAAGAAAAAGAAAAAAAGAGUAAGAAGUAUAUUUUGCGUAAAAAAGAAAUUUCUGUCUAACUGUUUCUAGCAAAUGAAAGUAACAAUCUUUUAUUGUAUGUAUACGCGCACAUAAAUCGUACCCCAAAGAUUUUAUGUAAUGAUGUUGGUUAAGCCAAAGAGUUUUAUGUAGAAUCCAGGAGUUUCUACAUACUUGAUAUCUGUUCUAUUAGUUUAUCUAACGAUGUGCAUCGCGCACCGAUAUACGCGUUGCACUGGACACUUUCUUGAAAAUAUAAUUGCGGUCAACGGUACAGUCACAAGCUAACGAAGUGUGUGUGCGUGUGUUUCGAUUCUCUGUAAUUAGAUCAUCUAUUACAUAAAAUCUUUGCUAUCUUUUAAUCGGCGAAAAAAAAAUUAGGAAGGAGAUAUAAGUUUACUAACCACGAGUAAAUUUAUAAAUAUGCACUUCCAUUAAUAUAUGAAAACAAUACUAAUGAUAAUACUAAGUUUAUAUAUAUAGCUUAUAUAUAUAUAGCUUAUACAUAUAGUUUAUAUAUAUAAGUUUAUAUAUAAAGCCUAAAAAUCCGAAUGAUUGAAAUUGAUACUUAAGCUUUUUACAUAUACCGCUCCACAUACGGCAUAUAUAGAUGAAUUUUUGAUAAUUGGUAUAUUUUAUAUAAGUGAAUUUGUUUACAUUCCUAUAAAGAUAAUCAGGUCCAAUUUAAUUGAACUAGCUUUUUAUAGCAUUUCCAAAUUUUAUAACAUUUUUAUACACCAUCAAUUGUUGUCUCGUACAUGCCUUGUUUUGAGAUGAAAUGCACAUUUUUAUACUGGUUAUACACAUUGUCUACAAUAUACAGGAUUAAUGUACUAAUGCUCAUUACAUGGAGAGAGAGAGAAAGAGAAAGAACGCCUAUGAUUUUUAUAUAUAAGAAAAAGAUUUAUAGAAGAUAUACUAUUGACACUCGUCGUGAUAACAAAUUAACAAAUAUGAUUCUAGUAAUAAUAAUACUUCUCGUACACGUGCCGUAAUACCGGCUUAAUAGAAAAUCCUCAAACAAUAAUUUGUUGCGAAUACCAAAACGAGAUGAGCACAUUACAUCGACACUACGUUUGUGCAUGCCAGUUCACAUUUUAUUUGCGAUAUCAUUUUAUUGGCUACAUGUUCAAUAUAGCGGACGUCGCGACGAAUGUAUCACGUAUGUAUUUUCUAUUAAGCUGCUGUAAAUGGAAGGAUACACACAUGUAACAGUAUAUAUCCAGACCGUAUACUUGAAAUUUUACUGUAAUAUAGACUGUGAGAAUGCGUAGUAACUAUGUGAUAUACAAUACGUUUUGGACAAGUUCAAGCAAUGAUUUUUAUAUUUUCGAAUUUCCAAAGUGAUUCUUUUGGUAUGUCCAAUUUAACUUUAAUAUGUUCCAACUCGUAAGAAGGUUGUAUGAAAAAGCAUUUAAACCAAAUGUUGUCGGAAACGGCAUCAUAUAUAUAUAUAUAUAUAUAUAAAUAUAUAUAUAUUUUUUAUUCACUCCUACAUUCGCAAACUGGAGAAAAGAGGAGAAUGUGAAUAUUUAUUUAUUCUUUCUCAUGCAAUAAACGAAGGAUAGUAGUAGGAUUGAGGGAACAGUGGAUUGUACAUGUUUGUAUAUACGUAGUUAAAAUUAUUAAUUUCAGUUAUUCUCUCCGAUUCUCAAGCGCUACUAUGAUUUCUGUGUAUAUAUAUACAUAUAUCUCUGGUAUAUUUUUUGUUUAAAGUUUAAUACUUGGAGAAAAUAGACCAAUUUAUUCAUGAAACAUUUGUGUUUUCUUAUUUUUUACGUUAACGUUGAUAAACUUGCGAUAAUGAAAUAUAUGCUUAUAACAUUGCUUGCAAAAUCGUCAUGCAGUCAGUAAUGCAAUACACAAAUUGCUUCUUUCUUUACCGAAUAUAUAGGAUGUCCUAAGACCGGAUAAUUUACGAAUCUCCUGAACGCUCGAGGGAAACCUCACACAUAAUUUUGAAUUCCAUUGUUGAAUAAUUUCUUAAUAUUAUUUAAUAUCUGUGUGACUGAACUUUUCAAAUAAAAUUUCUAUUAAAAAAAUAUCUUUUUAAAGUUAAAUCAAACUUAAGCUUCCGUUAUUCAUUUCUUUUGCAACUAAAUCACCAGGAAUUCUUAGAUACUUGCAAUCAUUCGACAAUUACAAGUGCCUCGACAUUUUUUUUGAGAAAAGACUACUCCAAAUUGCUCAAUGGAACAUCCUGUGUAUAUAUGUGU